rnacentral:rRNA from 1 species
GGCGCACGGGUGAGUAACGCGUGGGAACCUGCCUUUUUCUGCGGGAUAACGGUUGGAAACGGCCGCUAAUACCGCAUACGCCCUACGGGGGAAAGGUCCGCCGGAAAAAGAGGGGCCCGCGUCUGAUUAGCUAGUUGGUAGGGUAAUGGCCUACCAAGGCGACGAUCAGUAGCUGGUCUGAGAGGAUGAUCAGCCACACUGGGACUGAGACACGGCCCAGACUCC